rnacentral:lncRNA from 1 species
UUCCAGAGACGGGGGGCAGAGGCAGGAGCCGGCGCCGCCGCCCAUGGGGGCUACAGGGGCGCGCACAUGCCGCGCACACGGCGCAGGGCUAGCCCGCGGUGUCACCUGCUCGCCGGCAGCGCCGGAGCCCCACGCCCUCCGCGGAGGGCCCUCCCGGGGCCGGGCCGGGCCGGGCGGAGCGGCGGGGCCGGGCGGGGCGGCGGGGCUUCCCCGGCGCUCGGCAGCCCAUGUGCCAUGCGGCGUCCCGAGGAGCCGCGCCGUUUAGAGCAGGGGCCGCGGCGGAGGAACACACCCCCCGGCGCCUCACCCCUCCUCAAACUUGCUGACAUUUGAACUCCAUUGGUGCGCGCCGUAUCGCUGCGCCGCGGUGAUCCGUCUCCUCGACGUCAAAUAGUGCCCUGGCCCCGCCGGGCCCCCGCGGCCCCCGAAGCGCGGCGGCGCCCGGGGCGCGGGGCGGGCGGGCUCCGCACACCCCGGGGCGGCCGAGCGGACCGGGGGGCAGAGCGAGCGCGGCCGCCGAGGAUCGCAGCGGAGCGGGGCCCCGGCCGUCCCGCUCCGCUCUCCGCCGCCGGCCCCGGCCCGACGGCGGCCGCCGGCUCCCGCCCUGCCCGGGCUGGACUCGGCGGAGCCCCGGCCUUCCCCGCCCGCCAGCGGCCGACGCCGAAGCAUCGCUACCCGAGGAGCCGCCCGCGGCGGGCGGUGCUAGGGGAUCACCGGGACACCGGCCCGGCUGCACGGCGGACGGGGCCGAGCUCGUCGCGGGUGCAGACACCGGGACAGAGACCGGCGGGCGCCCCUCGGGCGGCUUCGCCGCCCGCGACCCGUGCAGGUGCCCCUCCGCGUACCGGGCGCUCCCCAGAACUGCUCUGCCGCCCGUGGCUCCCACCGAGCGCCCCGCGGCCUCUCCCGCCCCGCGGUGCCUCCCCGCCGCCGCCGCGCCGCCGUGCGGGGCAGCCGCACCGGGAGCGGGGCUCAGCCCGGGCAGAGCCGCCGCCGCCGGGCGCGCUCGGCGGUGACUGAUGCAACCGCGCUCCCUCCCUCGGAAGGACAAAUGUAAGCGAGCCGCAAAGUGUAGUUACUAAUAACAACAACAAUAAAUUGUCGGGCUGUUGCUCA